rnacentral:rRNA from 1 species
AGGGAACGCUGGCGGUAGGCCUAACACAUGCAAGUCGAACGGCAGCACAGUAAGAGCUUGCUCUUACGGGUGGCGAGUGGCGGACGGGUGAGGAAUACAUCGGAAUCUACUUUUUCGCGGGGGAUAACGUAGGGAAACUUACGCUAAUACCGCAUACGACCUACGGGUGAAAGCAUGAGAUCUUCGGACCUUGCGCGAUUGAAUGAGCCGAUGUCGGAUUAGCUAGUUGGCGGGGUAAAGGCCCACCAAGGCGACGAUCCGUAGCUGGUCUGAGAGGAUGAGCAGUCACACUGGAACUGAUGCACGGUCCACACUCCUACGGUAGGCAGCGGUGGGGAACUUUGGACGAUGGGCGCAAGCCUGCCCCAGCCGUACCGCGUGGGUGAAUAAGGCCCUCCGGUUCUAAAGCCCUUUUGUUGGGAAAGACACGCAGCAGGUUACUACCCCGCUGUUCUGACGGUACCCACAGAAUAAGCACCGGCUAACUUCGUG